rnacentral:rRNA from 1 species
GAUUGAACGCUGGCGGCAUGCCUUACACAUGCAAGUCGAGCGCGAAAGGGGGCAACCCCGAGUAGAGCGGCGGACGGGUGAGUAACACAUCGGAACGUGCCCAGUAGUGGGGGACAACCUCGAGAAAUCGAGGCUAAUACCGCAUACGACCCACGGGUGAAAGCGGGGGACCGCAAGGCCUCGCGCUAUUGGAGCGGCCGAUGUCCGAUUAGCUAGUUGGCGGGGUAAGAGCCCACCAAGGCGACGAUCGGUAGCUGAUCUGAGAGGACGACCAGCCACACUGGGACUGAGACACGGCCCAGACUCCUACGGGAGGCAGCAGUGGGGAAUUUUGGACAAUGGGGGCAACCCUGAAUCCAGCCAUGCCGCGUGCGGGAAGAA